rnacentral:rRNA from 1 species
AGAGUUUGAUCCUGGCUCAGGAUGAACGCUGGCGGCGUGCCUAACACAUGCAAGUCGAACGAAGUUUUAACGACGGAAGUCUUCGGACGGAAGAUGUUACAACUUAGUGGCGGACGGGUGAGUAACGCGUGAGCAACCUGCCUUUCAGAGGGGGACAACAGUUGGAAACGACUGCUAAUACCGCAUAACGUAUAUUUAUGGCAUCAUAGAUAUACCAAAGGAGCAAUCCGCUGAAAGAUGGGCUCGCGUUGGAUUAGAUAGUUGGUGGGGUAACGGCCUACCAAGUCGACGAUCCAUAGCCGGACUGAGAGGUUGAACGGCCACAUUGGGACUGAGACACGGCCCAGACUCCUACGGGAGGCAGCAGUGGGGGAUAUUGCACAAUGGGCGAAAGCCUGAUGCAGCAACGCCGCGUGAGGGAAGAAGGUCUUCGGAUUGUAAACCUUUGUCCUUGCUGACGAAUAAAGUGACGGUAAGCAAGGAGGAAGUCACGGCUAACUACGUGCCAGCAGCCGCGGUAAUACGUAGGUGGCAAGCGUUAUCCGGAUUUACUGGGUGUAAAGGGUGCGCAGGCGGGAACGCAAGUUGGAUGUGAAAUGUCGGGGCUCAACCCCGGAACUGCAUCCAAAACUGCGACUCUUGAGUGAAGUAGAGGUAAGCGGAAUUCCGAGUGUAGCGGUGAAAUGCGUAGAUAUUCGGAGGAACACCAGUGGCGAAGGCGGCUUACUGGGCUUUAACUGACGCUGAGGCACGAAAGUGUGGGGAGCAAACAGGAUUAGAUACCCUGGUAGUCCACACUGUAAACGAUGAUUGCUAGGUGUGGGGGGACUGACCCCUUCCGUGCCGGAGUAAACACAAUAAGCAAUCCACC